AUGCAGCUGUGGGGUCUUUUCCUCUGCCUGGUGACAGGUCCCCAAGGUGUCCUGUCUGACCUGACACUGCAAGAGUCUGGCCCAGGACUGGUGAAACCCUCACAGACCCUGUCCCUCACCUGUGCUGUCUCCGGGGGCUCUGUAACCAGCAGUUACUACUGGAAGUGGAUCUGCCCGCGCCCUGGGAAAGGGUUGGAGUGGAUGGAGUACUGGACAGGAAGUACAAGCUACAACCCUGCUUUCCAAGGCCGAAUCUCCAUCACUGCUGACACGUCCAAGAACCAGUUCUCCCUGCAGCUGAGUUCUGUGACCACCGAGGACACACCCGUGUAUUACUGUGCAAGAGACAGUGAGAGGAAGUCAGUGUGA